CUCCAGUUAGCCUAGUGGUUAAGGUUGUGGACCGCCAAUCCGGAGACAGCGGGUUAGAUUCCCGUAUCGGUCG
rfam:Aedes albopictus isolate Foshan contig62534, whole genome shotgun sequence.